GACUUUAAAAAAGAAAAUUAAAAAAAAAAAACCUAAAUGGACUAAAUUCUCCAUCAGACUAUAUUUUUUAAAUGUACAUGCCAUUAACAAGAUGUAUUUAUCUUAAAUGUAAAGGUACGGGGAGAUUGAAAGUAAAAAUUGGAAAAAAUACAGUCUACAAAUACAGCCCCCGACAAAAGUUAGCAUAGCUGCUAUAAAUAGCAGAAGUAGUAGACUUUAAGGCAAAAGGUAUUGCUAGUUAUAAAGACACACUUGAGAAUAUAUGAAGUACAUUCAACCAAAAGAUUUAAUGUUUAAAUCUAUAUGCAUCUAAUUACAUAGUCUCAAAAUAUCUAAAGCAAAAGCCAACAGAACAUGAUGAAACAGACAAAUCCAUGAUCCUGCUGGGAGGUUACACAUACGGUUCUGGGGGACAUGUAAGAAAUGACUAUAAUCUUACACAACGUUUCCUAAAAAAAGAAGAAAAUGAGAAACAUUUCCAAACUCUUGUGAUGAGGCCAAGAAAACUCUAAUACCAAAACCAUAACAAGGAUGAAAUCACAGACCAUUUCACUCAUGAACACAGAUGCUAAACUCCUAAACAAAACAACUAACUGAAUCUAGUAAUACAUAAAAAAGGACAAUACAUCAUGAUCAAGAUGGGUUUAUUCCAGGAGUGAGAAGUCACUUUAAUAUUUGAAAAUCAAUGCUGACUCACCACAAAAUAAAUCAUAAUUUUCUCAGAGGAUACAUGAAAGUAAUUUAGUAAAACUCAAUAUGCAUGCACAAUUUUUUUUAACUCUUAGCAAACUAGUAAUAGAAGGGUAGUUCCUUAAUCUGAAAAAGCCUAUUUUUUUUUUAAAGACAUACUGUUGAAAGCCUGCCCUCUGAGACUAGGAGAAAGGUAAGGCUGCCACUGUGGGCACCUCUUUCCAGGAUUGUUCUUGGAGUCCAAGCUAGCGCAGGAAGCAAACACACACACACACACACACCUGGUAAAGGUUAAGAAGGAAGACAACUCAUUACAUGUAAAUAAUACUGUGUAAGUAGAAAAUUCAACAGAACCUACCAAUAAACUAUCAGAAUUAGUAAGUAAAUAUAGAAAGAUUGCUAGAUAAAAAGUCAGCAAUCAAGAAUCAAUUGUAUUACUAUAUACUAACAAGUAACAAAAAAAAAAAAACAAGUAACAAAAGAUGUUAAAUGACAUUUAUAAUAGCGUCAAAUCAAAUACCCAGGGAUAUGAACAAAAUAUGUACAAUAUUUCUACACAGAAAACUACAAAAUCAAGGGGAAAAAAAUUAAGACCUAAAAAAAUAAGGAAAUUCACCAUUUUUGUUGGGAAACUGUAAAGAUACCAAUUGUUCCCAAAUUAAUCCAUAGGUUUAAAGCAAUCAUAGUCAAAAUCCCAAUCUUUAUUUUGGUGAAAACUGACGAGUUAAUUCCAAAAUUCACUAUAAAUACAAAUGAUUUUAAAUGGCCAACCCCUUUUAAAGAUAGCGGAAAGGCUUGACCUUCCCAAUACCAAGACUUACUGUCACGCCACGGUAAUGAAGUGUGACACUGAAACAAAAAUAGACAAAUGGACCUCUGGAGUCUAGUCCAGGUAGGUGAGAGAUCCAGGUGUGAAAAUACACCACCAGUAAAACUUCUAGAUCUAGAAGACAAUAUAAGAGAGUAUCUUCAUAACCUCGGAAUAGGGGAAUUUUUCUUAAGCCACAAAAAAGCAUUAUCCAUAAAGGAAAAGAUAAAUUUGUGUAUAUUACAACUGAGCACUUCUUUUUAUCAGAUGACCCCACAGAGAGUGAAAAGGGAGACUACAGGACCCAUUGCCAGAGUCCAUAAAGAACUCCUCUAGCUUGAUAUGAAGGCAGGCCAGCAUAAAAAUGGGCACAAGUCUUGCACAGGCGCAACAUAAAAAGAUGUCAUCUUGCACAUUAUAAAAAUCAUUCGUCAUCAGAGAGACGCAAAGUAAAGCCACAGUGAAACACCAUUACAGUCUCACUCCCAGCAGUGCUUAAACUAAAAACACUGACAAAUCCGGGGGUUGAGGACAUGGAGCAUCUACUGCCUUCCUCCACUGCUGGGGGGAAUGCAGAAGGAUACAGCCCCUUGAGGGUGCAGGUUGGCAGCAUCCCCUUGCACUUUUUAACAGAUCUCCAGGGGCCUCAGGAAAGCCUUUCUUUACCAGGCUCAGGUCAGACACCUCAAGGCCGUGCUAGAGCAGCUAAGAAAAUAUACGUAUUUUAACAUCUCUGAAGUUGUGAUGCACCUGGAUCCGUUUUCCCUCGGUUCACUCAACAUUUCAGACUUGACCAGUGCCCUCUCUUUCGUGGCACUUUGGCUUAGUUGGUAACUACGCUGUCUGCUAUAUGCCUCCCACGCUGGACUGGAAGCUUCAGGAAAACAGACUGUCGUCCUUCCCUGCUGCAACCCCUAAAACUGGAAUUGCCAGGUCAAAAGGCACGCACAUUUUUCAGUUACUUUUAAUUACACGACUCAUGAACACAUCUCUAUUCUAAAGUGCAGCAAUAUAUUGCACAAACCCUCCCCGUCCCGCUCCCUCCUUGAAGGCAGCCACUGUCAGCAGUUUAGAAUAUAUCCUUCUAGACUGUUCUUUGCAUGUACAUGCAUGUGAAUACAUGGUACGCGUAUUAUUCAGAGAGGCCAACUGUCUACUUGCCACAAAUACUGUGGCAGCGCACGCACCAGCAAUAAAUGAGAGGGUCUGUGUUGCGUCCCUUGCCAAAUCUGGAUGUAUUCUAUCAGUUUUUCUCCAAUCUGGUAAUAGAAGCCACCGGAUGGUUCAGAUCUAUAUUCCCCGGAUAUACUGUCUUUUGGGGUGGUUUUCCAGAUACAAGUAUCCUCCUCUCCAUCCCGCCCCAGCACCCUGAGUUACAGACCUCCCCCUACUCCUUCCUCUGUCACCAGUGGAGGGCUAUUUUACAGUGAGCUCUUUAAACCAUCCGGAAUUUAUUUUUACAUGCAAUUAUAAAGAGAAUUCUUUUUUCCAACCAGAUAACCAACUCUGCGUAUUAUGAUCCUUCCUUGAUUCUCCCAACUUAAAUGCCAUUUUGAUCAGAUAUUAACUUCCUAUGCACACUCAGAAUGUUUUCUGAACUUUCUAUUACUUUUCACUGAUCUGUCUUUGGGGCAGAGCCUUGAUUAUUGUAGCUUUAUGGUGAGUUUUAGCACCAGGGACCAAAAUUCCCCCUCAUUAAACUUAAAAAAUUUUUAUUAGCAAUUUUUGCACAUUUUCCUUCCACAUUAAUUUUUUUCCUUCCACAUUAAUUUUAAAAACGCUUUUGCCAUAGUUUAAAAAGUUCCUAUAAGGAAACCAUGUUCCUUGUGGGAACUUAAUUAAAUCUCUAUGUAAGAAGGCUGAAUAUCUUUACAUUACACAUAUUCCUAUCCAGAUAUUUAGUCCAGUUGUUCGUUUUAGUCUUUUGGUAUUUUUAAAAAUCAUUCUUCAUUUGGUUCUCCAUCUUUCUUGUUCAAUUUAUUCCUAGAUUUUGCUGUUUUUAUCACUAUUGUGUGUGGAAUUUUCUAUUUUUUUCUACUUUUAGCUGAUUAUUGCUGUUGGCUAUUUGUAGAUUUUAUAUCCGACCAUUUUACUAAGUUCUCUUAUUCUGAUUUAUUCUAAUUUUUUUUCAUUGACUCUUAGAUAUGAAUCUUAGCUAGAGAAUCAUUGUUUCUUCUAGUUUUUAUACUACAAAUUUCACUUUGCUAUUUUUUACAUUAGCUAGAAGCUCACUGGGGGGAUCCACCAGCUUUAUCCUGGUUAUAAUGACUUUUAAUGGUUUUAAUAAUUUUCCACUUAACGUGGCAUUUGCUCUCAGUGCCUCUUUCAGCUUCAGUAUCGCUGAGAGCUCAUUAGAAAUGCAGAAUCUAAAAAAAAAAAAAAUGCAGACUCUGAGGUCCUACUGACUGAACCAGAAUCUGCAUGUUAACAAGAUCUGCCUGGUAUUUCCCACAUAAAGUUCAAGGAACACUGGUCUAGGUGAUUUCUUUCUAUCCCGAUUUUGAGUUUAGUAAGAAAAGCUGUGGCUGCUGAAUUCUACCAAACUUUUUGGCAUCUAUUGAUCCCUAAAAAUUGGAUUCCUCCUUAGUGGCUGCCAUGCAUUCUAGUGUCUGAUACCCUAAUUCUGGGCCAGCCCUGCACCCUACAGCAGGAGGCCACCUUUCAACCCCCCAAGCAUUGUCCUCACCACUUACUUCCCCAUCCAUGUCUCGGGCUCCCCAAAGCAUCUCCAGGUUGAGACGGGUAUUCUCCGCUUGAGGUGCCAGGGCUGUGAGCAGCACACAGUGGGUGCUCAGAAGUCACUUGAUUUAACUCGAUCUGUCAUCCUUGUACGGCUGAGCUGACAGGGGAGCCGGGGGCGGACUUCCUCCUCUCCAUGCAGAUGGCUUUUUAUCUUGUUGAGUCACAGACCUCUUUGAGAACCUGGACACCUUCCCAGGAAAACAGCCAUUAAUGGCUUUCCCUCCCUGCUGGUUGGGAAGCUCCUGGCUGUCCUUAAGCCCAUGGUAAGACCCUUGCUCCCUGCUCUCCCAAAACCUUUGGCUGUGGGACAUCCUACAGAAAUCCCCACCAGCAGUACCCAGCUGGUACUGGGUAUUCUGAGGCUUCACCACAAGCCAGGCGUUGUGCUGAACACCCACGGGGGCUCCACUGAGUCUACCCACAACUCAAGAGGGCAGAUGGUACUACCAACCCAUUUUACAGAUUGGGAAAACCAAUUUCCUCAAGAAACCAGAAACUCCUUGAUGGCAAGGUCUGAUGUUUUGUGGCUGGGGCCUGGACCAGCUAGAAUGUCACUGCUGAUUAUGAGGCCUGGCUGGGAAGCUGCAGGGGCCUCCACGCCCUGUCCCCUAAGCCCCUUGCACCUCUGCAGACAGUUCUGAAUCUGGUUAAAAUGGACCACAGCUGACUGGACCAGGGUGCCAGGUGGGACUCGGGGACAUUCACACGUAGCUCUAUAGGCCAUCCAGCAGUCUCUAGGGUGACCCAAGUGCUCUCUAGUCUGGGUGGCCCUCACCACACAGGACCAAGCUGACCCUCCUUUGGUGGGCAAUAAAGUUAGGGACAGAAGGAGCAAGCAGAUGACAGGGAGGAGGAGGGGGGCAGAGCUGAAAGGCUACCGACAGAAGGAGGAAGUAGAGGGCAGGGAGGAGGGGAGAGAAACUUCUGGUAAAACAGCCCCAUGAGAAGUGGGUCACAUCUCAGAGGGGCCACACAACAUGAGCAGCAAACAGACCCUGGCCAGACCUGCCUUCAUGCAAACAGCAUCUCGGGGGGGGGCAGCCUCAGGAGCCCCCAGAGCCCAGCUGGGGACCGAUGUGCCACUCGCACUGAAAGUGAACCAGAAGUAGCGACAUGAAGCCCUGCCCAAGGGGUUGCUUUUUGUUUAUUGACCAGACACAGUGGCCUUGGUUUCUGGACAUAGAGUCAGCAUGAGAGCGCCUGUCUCCUGGGAUGGGGCAGGGGUCCAGAAUGAUCGGCCAGGAGCUACCAAGGAGAGAAGACACCACUCAACUCCUCCACAGGGAAGAAGAAACACCAGCAGCUUUGCCCUACAAUCACCAGGCAGGUAGAGGAGACUGGAGUUUGCAAGGUCCUUCCAGAUGGCUCCAAGGACAAAGGGAGCUCUGGUCCCUUUGAUGGUCUCCCGGGUGUAAGGUAAAGGCAAGGGCUACGGAGCCCAGCCAGCACAGUCCCAGAAAGAGUUUAGGGGGAUGCACAGAGGCCCAGGAGCUCUGGUGUGCCCCCAUCCCACAAUGAGCCUGGGCUCUGGGGCCAGUUCAGGUGAGGACGCUGCCUGAGGCCACCUGUAGCGGCGGAGGCCUAGCUAUGGGUGUGUCAAGGGUGACAAAUCCCACCUUCUUCUGGCCCUGGGUUCCCUCUGUAGGCAACAGAUAGCCACCAGCAGGGAUCAAAGUCCACAGAAACAGUCUGUCCAGGUUGGGUGUCCUUGUGCGUCCUGGCAUCCCCAAAGGAGCCAGCAGCUCUCAGGGGAGGUAGAGUGCCACCACCACAUAGAUGACCCAGCUGGUGGACACAAAGACCCCGAAGAGCAGACUGAAGAGCACGAGUGAGCGGGCCUUCCGGGAAGCCUCCUCAGCCUGGGCCAGGUCCCCCCGGCUCAGGGCAGCACGGGUCUGCAACGAGACGGAGGCAGGGAGUGGACAUGGAGCUCCCCCAACUCCCACACACCACCAACAGCGCUGGGGCCCGGUGCACAGCCUGGAAUGCUGGCACCCUGAGAUGCUCAGGACCUGCCCGGGGCCACCAUGUAUGAAGGAGGCCACGACUGCCAGCUCUGGGGCACCUGCCUUGGGCCUGGCACAGAACCAUGCCCUUGGCCUCACCUACAGCCCUCACAACAAUCCUGAGACUGGGGUCCCUGUUGCCCCCACUUUGUAGAUGAGGAAACAAAGGCCCAGUUAAGGGCCCCACCCAGGGCCCCACAGCUAGGGGUGGAGCCAGAACUCAGAGGCAGGCAGGCAGUGGCCUCCAGACUCCCACCUCUGUCUGAGCAGUCGUGAGAGCUGCCUUCUCCACAGCAUCCCAGCUUUAUGAUGGAGGAGCCUGACCAGUGCAGGGAAGUCAGGGCCACAGCCAGCCAAAUGUUCCGGAGUAGAUCUCCAGUGGUACGGAGCAGACAGGAGAGGGGAGGAGUGGCCAUCCAAGAGGCUCCACGGACAACUGAGCACUGAUGCCCCAGUUCCUGGCACCCUCCUGAGAUCCCCAGGGGCUGGGACAGGGCCUCUGUGGCCCCCCACCUACCUCGUGAGAGUAGACGAUCGCGAUGAGCCCCGUGAGCAGGCAGCAGAAGAGGGUCACCAGCACGGACUCCAUCAUGUAGUCCUUGGGCAGGGGCCUGUGCUCCACCGCGGUGGGGGCUGGCAUGCCAGCCACGGGGCUGUUGUACUGCGGGGACAGAGGUCACCACACUGCGGGUGUCUCUCCAGAGGUACCCAAACAGGUUCUUCAAGUCUUGAAGGGACCCUGCACCUCCCGAGAGCACCCUGGCCAGCUGAGUACCCUUAAGUAUCAGGAAGGGCCUGUAAGAGAAACCCUGGUAGGUAUACAAGGCCCCACAGUAGGGUGGGUGGCCCAGGGCCUGGCUUUAGAGGUUUAUUUCCCAAAUGUCCUUAAAGGUCACAGGAGGCAGAGAGAGAAGCAGAACAGCUGGAGCAGCAACAGUUCAGGAGAGGUGGUAGGAGCCCUGCUGACAUAGCCCACCGGUCCCAGGAGGCCUUGGAGGGACUGAGUUAGAGGCCAGGGAUCCUCAGAGAAGGGAUCCCCAACAGCAAGGAGUGCUGAACUCCUGAGAACUCCCCACCCACCCACUCCCAGCAGCCAGGGUGUCACUCACAGGCCUGCAGUGGGGUUCAUGCCUCCAUACCCUCACCCAUGGCCACCUGCUAUCUCCGUACUCCCUGAAUCUGGACGGGACACGUGACAUGCUUUGGCCAACAGAAUGCCAAUAAACAUCUCCCAGGGGUGCCUGGGUGGCUCAGUCAGUUCAGUGUCUGACUCUUGAUUUCGGCUCAGGUCAUGAUCUCAGGGGUCCCCCAGCUCAUUAGCCCUGCCACCUGUCCACUUGGUGCAGCCCCCCCUCUUCCUCAGUCCCUCCUGAGCUUCCAGCGUAAGGGGGCCAGUUUUGGAUCAUGCCAGAGCGGCUCCCAAGGAGCAAACAAACCAGCACCUAGAAAGGAAGGAGCUGCAGAGGGGAUCCCCUACUUGUGUGUGUGAAUCGGGGUGACCAAUAUAUCUGUUUUCCCAGGGCUCACAUUUGCUACUAAAACUCUCAUAUCCUGGGAAAACCCUUAGUCUCAGAUAAACCAGGGUGAUUAGUCACCCCAGACUGUAUCCACGCAGAUCUUGAACUCUCCCCCUCCAAGCUGCAUGUGUAGGCGACAGACCUAGACCAGCAUAAAGGACAACCAAACCGGACCACCAAACCAGCCAGGAAGCAACUAACCAAAGGCAAUAAGUACACACCUAUCAAUAAUUAACCUAAAUGUCAA